UCUGAAUAAAGCAGUUCAAAUUUGAACUCUCAAGUACUUAAAGAGGCUAUAAUAUCAUGUGAAAGAACUAUUUUGAUCUUUAAAGUUUGAACUGGUAGAUGAAUAUCAACCAUUGGAAUCUUUGCAAUACCUUUCUGAAAAUUGAUAUACAUUCAUGGAUUUGGCAGGCACAGGAAAUCGGAAAAGCGGCCAGUAGCUUCAUGGAAGAGCAGCUGAAAAUGGACUACAUUUAUGAUUAUAUGUAUCAUCUGUUAAACGAGUAUGCUAAGUUGUUAAAAUUUGAGCCAAGAAUACCUGAAGGAGCCGUGGAGUUGUGCUCAGAGGUCAUGGCCUGUCAUGCAGAAGGAAUUGAAGGGCGGAAGAAGAAGUUCAUGAUGGAAUCCUUGGUGAAAGGUCCUUCUGUUUCAAGUCCAUGCACCCUGCCUCCU
rnacentral:lncRNA from 1 species